UACAGAGGUCUCAACCGUUGUUCGGAUUCAUUGGGCGUAAAGGGUGCGUAGGCGGUCGUGCAAGUCGGAUGUGAAAUCUCAGGGCUCAACCCUGAAACUGCAUUCGAUACUGCCGUGCUUGAGGACUGGAGAGGAGACUGGAAUUUACGGUGUAGCAGUGAAAUGCGUAGAGAUCGUAAGGAAGACCAGUGGCGAAGGCGGGUCUCUGGACAGUUCCUGACACUGAGGCACGAAGGCCAGGGGAGCGAACGGG
rnacentral:rRNA from 1 species